rnacentral:rRNA from 1 species
GAUGAACGCUAGCGGCAAGCCUAACACAUGCAAGUCGAACGGUAACUUUUGGUGCUUGCACCGAAAGACGAGUGGCGAACGGGUGCGUAACGCGUAUGCAAUCUACCUUUUACUAGGGUAUAGCCCAGAGAAAUUUGGAUUAAUCCCCUAUAUUAUCAUUUAAUCGCAUGAUUUUAUGAUUAAAGCUUCGGCGGUAAAAGAUGAGCAUGCGUCCUAUUAGUUAGUAGGUGAGGUAACGGCUCACCUAGACUCCGAUAGGUAGGGGUCCUGAGAGGGAGAUCCCCCACACUGGUACUGAGACACGGACCAGACUCCUACGGGAGGCAGCAGUGAGGAAUAUUGGACAAUGGACGAAAGUCUGAUCCAGCUAUGCCGCGUGCAGGAUGACGGCCUAUGGGUUGUAAACUGCUUUUAUACAGGAAGAAAAACUCCGACGUGUCGGAACUUGACGGUACUGUAAGAAUAAGGAUCGGCUAACUCCGUGCCAGCAGCCGCGGUAAUACGGAGGAUCCAAGCGUUAUCCGGAAUCAUUGGGUUUAAAGGGUCCGCAGGCGGUUUUUUAAGUCAGAGGUGAAAUCCUGCAGCUCAACUGUAGAAUUGCCUUUGAUACUGAAAGACUUGAGUUAUUGUGAAGUGGUUAGAAUGUGUGGUGUAGCGGUGAAAUGCAUAGAUAUCACACAGAAUACCAAUUGCGAAGGCAGAUCACUAACAAUAUACUGACGCUCAGGGACGAAAGCGUGGGUAGCGAACAGGAUUAGAUACCCUGGUAGUCCACGCCGUAAACGAUGGAUACUAGCUGUAUGUCUACUUCAGGUAGAUGUGUGGCCAAGCGAAGGUGAUAAGUAUU